GACGAACGCUGGCGGCGUGCUUAACACAUGCAAGUCGAACGGAAAGGCCCUGCUUUUGUGGGGUGCUCGAGUGGCGAACGGGUGAGUAACACGUGAGUAACCUGCCCUUGACUUUGGGAUAACUUCAGGAAACUGGGGCUAAUACCGGAUAGGAGCUCCUGCUGCAUGGUGGGGGUUGGAAAGUUUCGGCGGUUGGGGAUGGACUCGCGGCUUAUCAGCUUGUUGGUGGGGUAGUGGCUUACCAAGGCUUUGACGGGUAGCCGGCCUGAGAGGGUGACCGGUCACAUUGGACUGAGAUACGGCCCAGACUCCUACGGGAGGCAGCAGUGGGGAAUAUUGCACAAUGGGCGGAAGCCUGAUGCAGCAACGCCGCGUGCGGGAUGACGGCCUUCGGGUUGUAAACCGCUUUCGCCUGUGACGAAGCGUGAGUGACGGUAAUGGGUAAAGAAGCACCGGCUAACUACGUG
rnacentral:rRNA from 1 species